rnacentral:rRNA from 1 species
AACGAACGCUGGCGGCAUGCCUAACACAUGCAAGUCGAACGCCAUGGUUUCGGCCAUGGAGUGGCGCACGGGUGAGUAACGCGUGGGAACCUGCCUAGCAGUAUGGGACAACCGCGGGAAACUGCGGCUAAUACCGUAUACGCCCGUCUUUGGGAGACCAGGGGCGGGGAAAGAUUGAUCGCUGUGGGAGGGGCCCGCGUCGGAUUAGGUAGUUGGUGGGGUAAAGGCCUACCAAGCCUGCGAUCCGUAGCUGGUCUGAGAGGAUGAUCAGCCACACGGGGACUGAGACACGGCCCAGACUCCGACGGGAGGCAGCAGUGGGGAAUAUUGGACAAUGGGCGCAAGCCUGAUCCAGCAAUGCCGCGUGAGUGAUGAAGGCCUUAGGGUUGUAAAGCUCUUUCACACGCGACGAUGAUGACGGUAGCGUGAGAAGAAGCCCCGGCUAACUCCGUGCCAGCCGCCGCGGUAA